rnacentral:rRNA from 1 species
CCAGGCGCCGAUCUAACCUGUAAGUCGUACGGUGAAGCCCAACAUUGCUGGGUGGAUCAUUGGCGAACGGGUGAGUAACACGUGAGUAACCUGCCCCUGACUCUGGGAUAAGCCUUGGAAACGAGGUCUAAUACCGGAUAUGUGACGUUCAGGCAUCUGAUGCGUCUGGAAAGAUUUAUCGGUCAGGGAUGGACUCGCGGCCUAUCAGCUUGUUGGUGGGGUAACGGCCCACCAAGGCGACGACGGGUAGCCGGCCUGAGAGGGCGACCGGCCACACUGGGACUGAGACACGGCCCAGACUCCUACGGGAGGCAGCAGUGGGGAAUAUUGCACAAUGGGCGCAAGCCUGAUGCAGCGACGCCGCGUGAGGGAUGAAGGCCUUCGGGUUGUAAACCUCUUUCAGCAGGGAAGAAGCGCAAGUGACGGUACCUGCAGAAGAAGCGCCGGCUAACUACGUGCCAGCAGCCGCGGUAAUACGUAGGGCGCAAGCGUUGUCCGGAAUUAUUGGGCGUAAAGAGCUCGUACGCGGUCUGUCGCGUCUGCUGUGAAAACUCGAGGCUCAACCUCGGGCUUGCAGUGGGUACGGGCAGACUAGAGUGCGGUAGGGGAGACUGGAAUUCCUGGUGUAGCGGUGGAAUGCGCAGAUAUCACGAGGAACACCGAUGGCGAACGCAGGUCUCUGGGCCGCAACUGACGCUGAGGAGCGAAAGCAUGGGGAGCGAACAGGAUUAGAUACCCUGGUAGUCCAUGCCGUAAACGUUGGGCACUAUGUGUGGGGCUCAUUCCACGAGUUCCGAUGCCGCACAAACGCAUUAAGUGCCCCGCCUGGGGAGUACGGCCGCAAGGCUAAAACUCAAGAAAUUGACUGGGGCCCGCACAAGCGGCGGAGCAUGCGUAUUAAUUCGAUGCAACGCGAAGAACCUUACCAUUGCCUUGACAUACACCGAGAAACUUUCCAGAGACUGCUUGCCCCGUCAUGCUCGUGUACAGGUGGUGCAUGUUGUACGUCAGCUCGUGUCGUGAGACUGGUCGGCUUAGUCCCGCAACGUAGCGCUAGCCUUCGUUCAAUGUUGCCAGCUGGUUUCAUGCGGAGGACCUCGUAAG